AGUGAACGCUGGCGGUAGGCCUAACACAUGCGAGUCGAACGGCAGCACAGUAAGAGCUUGCUCUUACGGGUGGCGAGUGGCGGACGGGUGAGGAAUACAUCGGAAUCUACUUUUUCGUGGGGGAUAACGUAGGGAAACUUACGCUAAUACCGCAUACGACCUACGGUUGAAAGCAGGGGAUCUUCGGACCUUGCGCGAUUGAAUGAGCCGAUGUCGGAUUAGCUAGUUGGCGGGGUAAAGGCCCACCAAGGCGACGAUCCGUAGCUGGUCUGAGAGGAUGAUCAGCCACACUGGAACUGAGACACGGUCCAGACUCCUACGGGAGGCAGCAGUGGGGAAUAUUGGACAAUGGGCGCAAGCCUGAUCCAGCCAUACCGCGUGGGUGAAGAAGGCCUUCGGGUUGUAAAGCCCUUUUGUUGGGAAAGAAAAGCAGCAGGUUAAUACCCAGCUGUUCUGACGGUACCCAAAGAAUAAGCACCGGCUAACUUCGUG
rnacentral:rRNA from 1 species